GCCAAUGUGGAUCAGUUGGUAGAGCAUGAGACUCUUAAUCUCAGGGUUGUGGGUUAAAGCCCCACAUUGGGCA